GUUUGCUUGCUGUGGCGCAAUGGGUCCGUGUGUCUGGCUGUUAAUCACAAAGUUGGUGGUUCGAGACCACCCAGGGAUG